rnacentral:rRNA from 1 species
UGCAGUCGAACGAGCGAGAGAGAGCUUGCUUUCUCGAGCGAGUGGCGAACGGGUGAGUAACGCGUGAGGAACCUGCCUCAAAGAGGGGGACAACAGUUGGAAACGACUGCUAAUACCGCAUAAGCCCACGGGUCGGCAUCGACCAGAGGGAAAAGGAGCAAUCCGCUUUGAGAUGGCCUCGCGUCCGAUUAGCUAGUUGGUGAGGUAACGGCCCACCAAGGCAACGAUCGGUAGCCGGACUGAGAGGUUGAACGGCCACAUUGGGACUGAGACACGGCCCAGACUCCUACGGGAGGCAGCAGUGGGGAAUAUUGCACAAUGGGGGAAACCCUGAUGCAGCGACGCCGCGUGGAGGAAGAAGGUCUUCGGAUUGUAAACUCCUGUUGUUGAGGAAGAUAAUGACGGUACUCAACAAGGAAGUGACGGCUAACUACGUGCCAGCAGCCGCGGUAAAACGUAGGUCACAAGCGUUGUCCGGAAUUACUGGGUGUAAAGGGAGCGCAGGCGGGAAGACAAGUUGGAAGUGAAAUCCAUGGGCUCAACCCAUGAACUGCUUUCAAAACUGUUUUUCUUGAGUAGUGCAGAGGUAGGCGGAAUUCCCGGUGUAGCGGUGGAAUGCGUAGAUAUCGGGAGGAACACCAGUGGCGAAGGCGGCCUACUGGGCACCAACUGACGCUGAGGCUCGAAAGUGUGGGUAGCAAACAGGAUUAGAUACCCUGGUAGUCCACACCGUAAACGAUGAUUACUAGGUGUUGGAGGAUUGACCCUUUCAGUGCCGCAGUUAACACAAUAAGUAAUCCACCUGGGGAGUACGACCGCAAGGUUGAAACUCAAAGGAAUUGACGGGGGCCCGCACAAGCAGUGGAGUAUGUGGUUUAAUUC